AAGCGAGCCUGUGAGGGGGAGCAAAUCCCAAAAAUAACGUCCCAGUUCGGAUUGUAGUCUGCAACUCGACUACAUGAAGCUGGAAUCGCUAGUAAUCGCGGAUCAGAAUGCCGCGGUGAAUACGUUCCCGGGUCUUGUACACACCGCCCGUCACACCAUGGGAGUCGGAAAUGCCCGAAGUCUGUGACCCAACCUUAGGGAGGGAGCAGCCGAAGGCAGGUCGGAUGACUGGGGUGAAGUCGUAACAAGGUACC
rnacentral:rRNA from 1 species